GAUCCUGGCUCAGGAUGAACGCUAGCUACAGGCUUAACACAUGCAAGUCGAGGGGAAACGACAUCGAAAGCUUGCUUUUGAUGGGCGUCGACCGGCGCACGGGUGAGUAACGCGUAUCCAACCUGCCCAUCACUUGGGGAAUAACCUUGCGAAAGUAAGACUAAUGCCCAAUGAUAUCCCACCGAAGGGCAUCCGAAUGGGGAUUAAAGAAUUUAUCGGUGAUGGAUGGGGAGUGCGU
rnacentral:rRNA from 1 species